AAUUAGUUCUCAUUUUUUAUUUUAAAAAAUAUUGUUCAAAAAAGGGGUUUCCUUAAAACUCUCGAAAAUAAAAAUAAGGGUCAGAGAUGAAUUAAAAAAAAGAUGAAACUGUAAUUUAUCGAAAGACGGAUAUAGUGAUCAGGUGGUUAUGCAUGGAAGGGCCAUCGCUCAAAGGGUCUGGGGAUAACAGGUUGAUCUCCCCCUUAGAGCUCUUAUCGACGGGGAGGUUUGGCACCCCAAUGUCGGCUCGUCACAAACUGGAGCUGAAGUAGGUUACAAGGGUUGGGCUGUUCGCCCAUUAAAGUGGCACGCAAGCAGGGAAAUUAGAGAGAAAUUAAUUAAAAAAUGUA
rnacentral:ncRNA from 1 species